CAGCAGCGACGCACACAUGCUCAGGGUCAGCAGGAAACGACAGGGGCAUCAGCGCUGCGCGCGCCCCCUUCUCUCACCAGCUCAGUAAGAGAGACGUGCAGCAAGACGGACCUUCUGCUGCCUUCUCCUCCAGUGCCAUGGUCUGCCCCAGCGAACCAUCACAUCUCCUCACCUCCAAGAGCCAGCCACUCACAGCCUCACACAGGAGGGGUGCCUCUACAGCCUGUUCUUACUGCCAAGGCCUUGUCAGCACCAAGCUGCCCCUUCCGGGACCCAUGGCUGGAGGGGGCGGGAAGCCUGCCUGAUCCCCUGCUCAUUCUUGAUUCUCCUUUCAACGCCCUUCAUAGUUCCACCUAGUGAAAUCUUUUUUUCCAUCUUUAAAUAGUAUACAGAACCAACACUUAAAUGUUAAAAUGUUUCAUUAUACCACCAAAAAUCAUUUUGGAUACCCCACAAUUGUUCACAUAUACCACAUGGGGUAG
rnacentral:lncRNA from 1 species